rnacentral:rRNA from 1 species
AGCUAGUUGGUGAGGUAACGGCCCACCAAGGCGAAGACGGGUAGCUGGCCUGAGAGGGUGGUCAGCCACACUGGGACUGAGAUACUGCCCAGAGCCCUACGGGGUGCAGCAGCAGGGAAUUUUCCGCAAUGGGCGCAAGCCUGACGGAGCGACGCCGCGUGGAGGAAGAAGGCCUUCGGGUUGUAAACUCCUGUCAGGAGUUAUGAAGACCCCCGCAAGGGGGUUUGACAAAGGCUCCAGAGGAAGGCAUGGCUAACUCUGUGCCAGCAGCCGCGGUAAUACAGAGAUGCCAAGCGUUGUUCGGAAUCAUUGGGCGUAAAGGGCGCGUAGGCGGUCGUGAAAGUUGGACGUGAAAGCCCCUGGCUCACCCAGGGAACUGCAUCCAAAACUACACGGCUAGAGGGCGACAGGGGAGAGUGGAACUCUAGGUGGAGCGGUGAAAUGCGUUGAUAUCUAGAGGAACGCCGGCGACGAAGGUGACUCUCUGGGUCGUUUCUGACGCUGAGUGCGCGAAAGCUAGGGGAGCAAACGGGAUUAGAUACCCCGGUAGUCCUAGCCCUAAACGAUGGACACUUGGUAGAGGUGGCGUUCGAGCCGUCCCUGCCGGAGCUAACGCGUUAAGUGUCCCGCCUGGGGAUUACGGUCGCAAGAUUAAAACUCAAAGGAAUUGACGGGGACUCGCACAAGCGGUGGAGUAUGUGGUUCAAUUCGAGGCAACGCGAAGAACCUUACCAGGGCUUGACAUUGCAGGUAGUAGAACCCCGAAAGGGGAACGAUCCUCGCAAGAGGAAGCCUGUACAGGUGCUGCAUGGCUGUCGUCAGCUCGUGUCGUGAGAUGUCGGGUUAAGUCCCAUAACGAGCGAAACCCUUGUCCUUAGUUACCAGCGGGUUAUGCCGGGGACUCUAAGGAGACCGCCGUCGUCAAGACGGAGGAAGGCGGGGAUGACGUCAAGUCAUCAUGGCCCUUAUUGUCCUGGGCUACACACGUACUACAAUGGCCGGUACAGAGGGAUGCGAAACCGUAAGGUGGAGCGAAACCCAGAAAACCGACCCCAGUUCAGAUCGGGGGCUGCAACCCGCCCCCGUGAAGGCGGAAUCGCUAGUAAUCGCGGAUCAGCUACGCCGCGGUGAAUAUGUUCCCGAGUCUUGUACACACCGCCCGUCAAGCCACCAAAGGUGGGGGUGUCCGAAGUCGUUUGUCUAACCCGCAAGGGA